rnacentral:lncRNA from 1 species
CAGAAGUAUGAAGACAUGAGUUCAGAUCUCCAGUUAAAAACAACUGCUGUGCCAAGGUACAUGCAUAGUCAAAGUGACAGGGAAGCAGAGACAGGGGGCUCUCUGGGGCUUGCCUGCUGGCCAGUGUAGUCAAGUACAGAGCCCCAGGUUCAGUUGUAGACUCUGUGUCAAAACACAAGAUGGAGAGAGAUAGAGGAAGACACUUGACAUCAAUCUCUGGCCUCCACACACACGCACAUUCCCCGCACAAGUGCACAUACAUGACUGUACGCAUGAAGCUUGUUAGACGUUGGGGUUCAAAAGUGGUUAGGACAAGGUCAUUGUCUUAAAGAAUCAAAACUCUGGGAGUCGAGGAGAUGUUCUGAUGAUCAGUGCCUGCUGUGCAAGCUUGAAGACCGUAUCUCAGAAUCCCAGUCCCCACAGAAAACCAGAAGCUACAUAUGUUGGCCUAGGUCUGCAACCCCAGCACUGGGGAAAUCUUGUCCCUGAAGCUCAUUGGCUAGCCAACCUAGCCAAACUGAUGAGCCCCAGGUUGAGUGAGACCCUUGUCAAACAAUAAGAGGACAGUGAUAGAGGGUGACACUCAUUUUGACCUCUGCCCUCUACGCACGUGUGCACACACAGGGGCAUGUCUACUCAUAUCCACAUACAUGUACAUACACCAUACCUAUGCAUAUACACACAACUUUUAAAAGUAGAGCCUUCCAAGGACACCAGAGAUGCAAAGAGAUAAUUAGAGUUCAGAGUUGUGCAGUACCAUCAGUGUGGUGACUAGCAUUGUGGUUUGUCUAAAUUAGGUUAAUUGCAGGAGGAAAGCCAUCGCCAUCGAAAGUAUGGGAUCUGGACUGUACAGAAGGAAGAGAGUCAGAUGGGCGUUCGCUGUUCUCGGCUUCCCGACUGUGACUGCAGCGUGACCAGCAGCCUCCAGCCCUUGCCACCCGGACCCACUUACUGCGAUAGACUGCGCCCUGGAGCUGGGGGCUAAGGAAGACCCUUUGCCGUUCAAGGUGCUCUUACCAGGGUGCUUUACCACAUGAACAGUUACACACGAAAGAUGUAAAUGUGCUGUUGCUCCCUUCACCCUUGCCUCCUCCUGUAGUCAACGCUAAAGCCCAGGUGAUUGCUCAUCAUCACAACACUCCCGUCACCUCCAAAGCCUUCCAGUGAAGUUCAUCAGAGCUUUCUGCAGGGAUGCAAGAAUCCCCUCCAUGCCUUCUCUGUACAGCAUGGAGCCACGAGGUGGCCAUGAGCUGCCCAUCGCUGUGGACACUGAGCACAGGUGAGGAUACAACAAGAAUCCUGUCAUCUGCAAAGCAGGAAAUGGCCCCUCGACAAACUGAAUUCGCCAGCACCUUCAUCUUGGACUUCCAGCCUUUAGAAGCAGAAGAAAACAAAUGUCUGUCAGUUAGGCCACUGUUUCUAUGGUAACUUUCUAUCACAGGCCAAACUGGCUAAGACAACAUAUUGUCUUAAUUGAGGUCCAUGUGUAUGGGUUUCUGAUACUAACC